rnacentral:rRNA from 1 species
UACGAAAGGUCCAAGCGUUACUCGGAAUUACUGGGCGUAAAGCGCGCGUAGGCGGUCUUGUAUGUCGAUUGUGAAAGCCCCGGGCUCAACCUGGGAACUGCAGUCGAAACUGCAAGACUUGAAUGUUGGAGAGGUUGGGGGAAUACCUAGUGGAGAAGUGAAAUUCGUAGAGAUUAGGUGGAACACCAGAGGCGAAGGCGCCUGACUGGCCAAACAUUGACGCUAAGGCGCGAAAGCGUGGGUAGCAAACAGG